UCUCUCUCUCACCUGCCAUUGCUUUCCACCGUCGACUGAUUCCGGACAGCGCCGUGCUCGAGGCGGGCGUGCUCUCGCCGGCGUCAUGUGUGCUGGCAUUGGCGCCCCUGUCUCUCCCCUGUCUUGGGAUUGUGGCGGCCGUAGAUCGCAUCAUGGCCUCGCGGCGGCGGCGACAGUGACGACGGUGCACCCAUCUGAAUCGACUGAAAAAAGGAAAUACACGAGCACAUCCCCUCCUGAUCUCCUACGGCAUCGCAAGCUAAUCAUGUUGCCGCCAUGGUCGACCCUACCUCUCGAUCUCGCCCGUCGACGCCAUGGAGCACCAGCGAACCAACCGACGAACUCACCAAAGACAGAGAUAGACUCCUGCGUCAUGAUCUCCAGGGCCAAGAUGCAACUCUGCUAGGUUGGAUCGGCGGCAAAGGUCAGCCUCCCAUAUCCAUCUCUUACCCAGCCUCUCCCUCUCUUCUCUCCGAUCUUGUGUGUCACGUGGCAUUAGGACAUGCGACGCCAGUAGAGCAUGCGGCGGUGGUGGCUUGCUAGACGAAACGGAUUUGGGGGUGCGCCAGAAAAGGGCUCCGCUCUGGUUUGUAGGUGAUGAGGUCGACAGGAGAAGUGUUGGCUGGGAGCAGUUAGCGAUUUUCGAAUGGAGAAUGAACUGGAAUUUUUGUCUGCGCCGCUUCUUGCAGAUAGUCCAUGAUCUUUUUCGCCUUGAAGCACUCUGUGAAUUACACCAGAAUAGCAGCAACAUCAGGACACUUGAGAGCAGGGGUGUCAUUGGAGUCCUCCUCCCUUAAAUGUUCAGCUCUCGAACAUUGCACAAAUAAUGCUGGAUUAUACCGAUGUGCAGAUUGUAAGUUUCAUAUAUUCAGACUGGGACCUUUCUUCCUCUUAUUUUGCCGUCAAAACUGAAAAAGAGUGAUGCUAAGGCCCCGUUCGGCAACACUCCGCUCGGCCAGGACGGAGCGGAGCGCCAGGUUAGCAACUCCCUAUAUUAUAACUACAUGCACUUGCUUGAGAUCUGAUCUAGAACUGUUGUGCCCUGCUUUGCUGUAGUCAUAUGCUCUGUGUCCACUGAUGAGUUUCAGAUACAAAUUAGGACCAAAAUUGGAGUAGGUUCAGUCGCGCAAAUGUUGUAUCACUUUGUCAUGGGUAUUGUGAUGCUGAA